rfam:Gossypium hirsutum cultivar TM-1 chromosome 21, whole genome shotgun sequence
AAUCCAUGAUGAGGACACCUCAGAAGGUCUUUAAAUCGCUCCCAUGCAACAUACAGUGUCUCAAGCUCAAAUUGAGCAAAAGAAGAGAUGUCAUUCCUCAACUU